rnacentral:sRNA from 1 species
GGCUGGUGUGUGUGCAGUGCUGUUUGCCACUAAUUGAUCACAAUUAGUUACAGAGGUUUCUUUGUUCCAUCUCCACUUGACUAGCCUUAA